rnacentral:rRNA from 1 species
AGCAAUUAUACCGUGAAACUGCGAAUGGCUCAUUAAAUCAGUUAUCGUUUAUUUGAUAGUACCUUACUACUUGGAUAACCGUGGUAAUUCUAGAGCUAAUACAUGCUAAAAACCCCAACUUCGGGAGGGGUGUAUUUAUUAGAUAAAAAACCAAUGCCCUUCGGGGCUCCUUGGUGAUUCAUAAUAACUUCUCAGAUCGCAUGGCCUUGCGCCGGCGACGGUUCAUUCAAAUUUCUGCCCUAUCAACUUUCGAUGGUAAGGUAUUGGCUUACCAUGGUUUCAACGGGUAACGGGGAAUUAGGGUUCGAUUCCGGAGAGGGAGCCUGAGAAACGGCUACCACAUCCAAGGAAGGCAGCAGGCGCGCAAAUUACCCAAUCCCGACACGGGGAGGUAGUGACAAUAAAUACUGAUACAGGGCUCUUUAGGGUCUUGUAAUUGGAAUGAGUACAAUUUAAACCUCUUAACGAGGAACAAUUGGAGGGCAAGUCUGGUGCCAGCAGCCGCGGUAAUUCCAGCUCCAAUAGCGUAUAUUAAAGUUGUUGCAGUUAAAAAGCUCGUAGUUGAACCUUUGGCCUGGCUGGCGGGUCCGCCUCACCGCGUGCACUCGUCCGGCCGGGCCUUUUCUUCUGGAGAACCGCAUGCCCUUCACUGGGUGUGUUGGGGACCAGGACUUUUACUUUGAAAAAAUUAGAGUGUUCAAAGCAGGCCUUUGCUCGAAUACGUUAGCAUGGAAUAAUAGAAUAGGACGUGCGGUCCUAUUUUGUUGGUUUCUAGGACCGCCGUAAUGAUUAAUAGGGACAGUCGGGGGCAUCAGUAUUCAAUUGUCAGAGGUGAAAUUCUUGGAUUUAUUGAAGACUAACUACUGCGAAAGCAUUUGCCAAGGAUGUUUUCAUUAAUCAGUGAACGAAAGUUAGGGGAUCGAAGACGAUCAGAUACCGUCGUAGUCUUAACCAUAAACUAUGCCGACUAGGGAUCGGGCGGUGUUACUAUUUUGACCCGCUCGGCACCUUACGAGAAAUCAAAGU